rfam:Zootermopsis nevadensis contig24941, whole genome shotgun sequence.
GCCACGGUGGUCUAGCGGUUAGAACGCUGGCCUUGUAAUCCUGGGGUCUCGGGUUCGAUUCCCGGCGGUGCCA